CGGGGAAGGGACGCGCUGCGCCUGCCCCGCUGGCGGUGCUCUCGGCGCACGGAGGAGAGGAGGGGGCGAGACGGUCCCGCGGGGCCGCCGCCCGGAGGAUGCCCAGCGCCCUGCCCCAGUGCCGGUCCCGGUCCGACACCCCGCAGCUUUCAGUGAAAUCUAAUUCAGAAAUUGGACAUGCUCGGGCUCAGAAGACUAAUUCAUCCCCUAAAACAAACGCAUCAGUGAUUGCAGGCACCCAAACGUGACGAGCGUCUCAAUAUGCCGCGGAGCCAGAGAAAACAAAUUCAUUCAGGAGCCCGAAACGUAAUUAAAACUACUGCCAAGAAAACGAGGCGAGGGCAGGAUGGCACCGAAAUCAGCGAGCGGCUGCGGGCGGCGCCACGGCCCGCUGUAGCGGCGCGGACACCCGGCCGGCGGCAGCGCGGGGACGCCGCCAGGCAGCGCGGGCUCCGCAGGACCCCGCCGCCUCGCAGCCCCGAGCCCGCUGCUGAGGCGCUGCUCCCGCUCCCCGCUCCCCUGCAGCUGCAGCGCGCUCCUGCCACCAGCAGCCGGCUCCGCGCUCCGGCCCCGGGGUGAGUUCCCUGCGGGCAGGAUCGCCGCGCUGAGCCCUGCCUAACCCAGGCGCGGUGCGGCAAAAGCGCUUCGUGCUCAGGGGCAGCAGCUUCGGAGGAGCUGAACCGCCGCCGGGGAGGCGUACAGGGGGAGCGGGGUGCGAGGAGGCGGCUGCAGUGGCGGCGAUGCCAACACGGAUCUCUGUUGAACCUCAUGCGUCAACAGGCUCCCGUUCGGGGGUAGUCACCGGCACGGCUUUUGAACAGGGAAAAGUGGGGGGUAAAUGUACAAGGAGACGCGCUUUUUAAAAAUAAAUCACUUGUUAACUAC